rnacentral:rRNA from 1 species
UACGAAGGUCCCGAGCGUUGUUCGGAAUCACUGGGCGUAAAGGGAGCGUAGGCGGCGUGGUAAGUCAGAUGUGAAAUCCCGGGGCUCAACCCCGGAACUGCAUCCGAUACUGCCGUGCUAGAGGAUUGGAGAGGUAGCUGGAAUUCUUGGUGUAGCAGUGAAAUGCGUGGAGAUCAAGAGGAACACUCGUGGCGAAGGCGGGUCUCUGGGCCGAUACUGACGCUGAGGAGCGAAAGCGUGGGGAGCGAACAGG